UUUUAGGGGAAGGUGUGGUGUAAAGGAUGUUCCGCCUAUUAAUUUACUUUUAUUAUGUUGGUGUAUAUCUGGUUUAAUAUUAUUGUUGAAUAAUAUAAGUUUGUGUAAUUUUAUUAGUUAAGCCAAGUCUAUGUGCUGCUUAUAGAAGUAUUCAUGCGUUACUUUAAUAAAGUUUUAGUUGUAAGCACUAUUAUAUUUAGGACUUAAAAGUAAUGUUAAAUUAGUUUGUUAAUGUGAAAUAAGUUUAGCUCAU
rnacentral:rRNA from 1 species